UACGUAGGGUGCAAGCGUUAAUCGGAAUUACUGGGCGUAAAGCGUGCGCAGGCGGUUCUAUAAGACAGAUGUGAAAUCCCCGGGCUCAACCUGGGAACUGCAUUUGUGACUGUAGAGCUGGAGUGCGGCAGAGGGGGAUGGAAUUCCGCGUGUAGCAGUGAAAUGCGUAGAUAUGCGGAGGAACACCGAUGGCGAAGGCGAUCCCCUGGGCCUGCACUGACGCUCAUGCACGAAAUCGUGGGGAGCAAACGGG
rnacentral:rRNA from 1 species